rnacentral:snRNA from 1 species
AUCGCUUUUCGGCCUAAAGGCUAAGAUCAAAGUGUAGUAUCUGUUUUUAUCAGCUAAACAUAUCAUAGCUCUCCCAUUGGGAGACAACAUAUGUUAAACUAAUUUUUGUGAAGCGGAAGUCAGUUACGGGGCUUGCUCUACCGCUUCCACGGGUUGGUCCGGUAAAAUGAUCGCGUCGAUAGAAACUUUUUGUUU